AUGGAGGCGGUGGUGGUCGACGCGGGGUCCAAGCUGCUGAAGGCCGGCAUCGCGCUGCCCGACCAGGCCCCCGGGCUGGUGAUGCCCUCGAAGAUGAAGACGGAGGUGGAGGAGAGCGAGGUGGCCGACGGCGCGGCGGCGGUGGUGGAGGAGGUGGUGCAUCCGGUGGUGCGCGGCUUCGUCAAGGACUGGGACGCCAUGGAGGACCUGCUCACCUACGUCCUCUACAGGAACAUCGGCUGGGAGAUGGGGGACGAGGGCCAGAUCCUCUUCACCGAGCCGCUCUUCACGCCCAAGGCUCUCCGGGAGCAAUUAGUGCAACUUAUGUUCGAAAAAUUCAAUGUAUCAGGGUUUUAUGAUUCUGAACAGGCUGUAUUGUCCCUUUAUGCUGUUGGUCGCAUUUCGGGUUGUACGGUUGACAUUGGACAUGGGAAAAUAGAUAUUGCUCCAGUUUGUGAAGGUGCUGUUCAGCACGUAGCGUCAAAGAGAUUUGAGAUUGGAGGAACUGACUUGACAAACCUAUUUGCGCAAGAACUAAAGAAGUCCAACCCAUCAGUAAACGUUGAUAUUUCUGACGUUGAGAGGCUGAAAGAGCAGUAUGCAUGCUGCACAGAAGAUCAGUUAGCCUUUGAAGCUAUAGCGAGUACAUGCCAGCCAGAAACUCACACUCUUCCAGAUGGACAGGUUAUAACAAUUGAAAAAGAGCGCUAUAUAGUUGGUGAAGCUUUGUUUCAACCAAGUAUCUUGGGCUUAGAAGAUUAUGGUAUUGUCCACCAGCUAAUUACUAGUGUUUCAAACGUCGCAUCGGAGUACCAAAAGCAAGUGCUCGAGAACACUAUGCUAUGUGGUGGCACUGUAUCUAUGACUGGUUUCGAGGACAGGUUUCAGAGAGAAGCGAAUCUGUCGGCUUCGGCGAUCCGCCCGACUCUUGUGAAGGCCCCGGAGUACAUGCCGGAGGACCUGGCGCGGCACUCGGCGUGGCUGGGCGGCGCGAUCCUGGCCAAGGUGGUCUUCCCCCAGAACCAGCACGUGACCAAGGGCGACUACGACGAGACGGGCCCGUCCAUCGUCCACAAGAAGUGCUUCUGA
rnacentral:rRNA from 1 species